rnacentral:rRNA from 1 species
CCUACGGGUGGCAGCAGUGAGGAAUAUUGGUCAAUGGACGAGAGUCUGAACCAGCCAAGUAGCGUGAAGGAUGACUGCCCUAUGGGUUGUAAACUUCUUUUAUAUGGGAAUAAAAUGUUCCACGUGUGGGAUUUUGUAUGUACCAUAUGAAUAAGGAUCGGCUAACUCCGUGCCAGCAGCCGCGGUAAUACGGAGGAUCCGAGCGUUAUCCGGAUUUAUUGGGUUUAAAGGGAGCGUAGGUUGAUUGUUAAGUCAGUUGUGAAAGUUUGCGGCUCAACCGUAAAAUUGCAGUUGAAACUGGCAGUCUUGAGUACAGUAGAGGUGGGCGGAAUUCGUGGUGUAGCGGUGAAAUGCUUAGAUAUAACGAAGAACUCCGAUUGCGAAGGCAGUUCACUGGACUGCAACUGACACUGAGGCUCGAAAGUGUGGGUAUCAAACAGGAUUAGAUACCCCUGUAGUC